CCAGUACAUCACUGGGGCCAAGCUUCCUGCCAUACAGGACCUCUACACCAGGCACUGUCAGAGGAAGGCCCUAAACAUUGUCAAAGACUCCAGCCACCCUAGUCAUAGACCAUUCUCCCUGCUGCCGCACGGCAAGCGUUACCGGAGCGCAAUGUCUAGGUCCAAGAGGCUUCUAAACAGUUUCUACCCCCAAGCCAUAAGACUCCGGAACAUCCAAUCAAAUGGCCAUUUGAUGGCUAUAAAUAGCUAUAGUUAUCAUCUAUGCAUAGUCACUUUAAUAACUCUACAUACAUGUACAUAUUACCUCAACUAACCGGUGCCCCAGCACAUUGACUCCGUACUGGUAGCCUCCUGUGUAUGUCUCGCUAUUGUUAUUUUACUGCUGCUCUUUAAUUACUUGUUACUUUUCUUUCUUAUUCUUACUCAUUUUUUUUUAGCUGCAUUGCUGGUUAGGGGCUCGUAAGCAUUUCACUGUAAGGUCUAAAUACUGGUAGCCUCCUGUGUAUAGUCUCGCUAUUGUUGUAUUCGACGCAUGUGACUAAUACAAUUUGAUUUGAUUUGUGUGCUAGACCCUCCGUUAAAUUACACAUUUCUCGAGGUAGGAAUACAGCAAAAAAUAUGAUCAUUGGCUCAUUCGAGAGAAGACAUCCUCCUGAGUUAUGACAUCGGCCAGAUUUGAAAACUGACAUGUAUGAUAGAUGUUUUCGGCAAUCUUAAAGUCGUAUUCCUAUUAGCUUCCAGUGUAGUGAGUGACUUUAUCACGGUGCUACGUAAUACCAGACGGAUUUCUGUCUGCUUGAAUGCCAAUAACUCAGAUAAACAUGAAAUUACCCAGGGAAUCGAUAGAACAUCACUCAGAGAUGCACAAAAACAAUAUAAUAUUCAAAAUGGGUGAACCUUCCCUUUAAUUUCAUUAUAUAUUGUGUAAUAGUAGCAGUGUCAUCAUUGAAUUCAUUACUGAUGGAAGGAUACAGGUUACACAGAGAGAAUGAGUUGUCCCAGUGGAUGGUUUGUGCGUGUGUAUGUGCGUGUGUGUUUGCAUGUGUAUUUGCAAAUGUAUAUUUGUAUAUGUGAGUGUGUCUGUGCAUACAUGUGUGUAUAUGUUUGUUUGUUAGGUUUCACCCCCUGCUCUCCCCCUGUCUUCCCCCCAUGAACCCUCUAGCGGCUCAGCUGAUGUUGAGGAGGGGCCCCUCUCGCCACUGGCUCCUGGGGACCUCUCUCUCCCAGCUGCAGGAGCUGCUCUCUGAGGUCCCUCACAAAGUCAUCAAGCUCUUCAGUGACACCAGGUCUCUGUACACAUCCAGAGUCUCACCCUGAGUCCACUCAUCAGAAAGACCACAGUAGCUCCACCGACCCUUGUGCCACAGCAGAGACAACCAACACCCACACAUCGCGACCCACACACACACUGCGAUGAGAACCAUUCAAGCCUAUCCCCAACAGCUGCCUCGCUGGCUCCCCCAGUGCUGAGAGUUUAGCUAGGAGUUUAUAUGAAGAGAGCUCUCUCAUUACCAAGGAGGACAGUGCAGACUUCCAGGUAGACUUGAGUCAGGCCCCUUUCCAGCACACCUGGAGCCACAACCCAUGGGAGACAUAUGAGGUGAAAUUUGUAGGCUGGAAUAGAGGAGGACGAGGAGAGGAGUGGACAUCCAGAGCAUCCCUACACCAGGAGCCCCGUGGCUCCCCCAGAGACUACACGCCAGAGAACCCUGUUCAGACAGACCCCUUGUUAUCAUUCAGCUACAGCACCACAGAGACACACAGAGACCAGCGUACUCCGACAACCUUAUGUACUCAUACUCUACAGUAGGCUACAGUAAACAGCAGCAGUACCCUGAUGGCAGCCUGGCCUCGCCUAGAGGAGCUCUGCCAUUGGGGGCAGUAGCAGUGGCAGUGGCCCCUACAGCACAACUCAGGGGAGGGGUGACAUGAGUGAGACACCUGACUAUGGGAUCAGUUACACGAUGGGGUUAGAGAGAAAGAGGAGAUCAGAGGCCCCAAAGAUGAACAAUGAGAGUAACAUGUUAGACUGUUGAUGAAGCAAGUUUCCAUUUAAAUAUAUUUUUUAGAGAUCUCCUUUAGUGGUUUGGGAAAGUUCUAGUAUAGCCUCUAGUGUGGAAAUUAUAUCAUUAUUGAGGUAAAUGUGAGCAAUUACGAGAUUAUAUUGUUCUGUUUUCAUGUAUUCUUUUCAGUUUUAAAGGCCAUUGAAGAGGGGAAAGCUUAGUUAUGAGAAGGUGUUAGGCUGAAGGGAUAGACAUAUAAGACUAACCUUUUUCUAAAAUGUCUCAUAUCUGUGAAAUACUGAGAUAUUAAGAUUUGCCUGAAAAGUGAACAGUAUCCUGUCAGUCCCUUGCCCUGUCAACAACUACAGAUAUUUGGUAUGUAAGAAAUAUAUGAGGUAUGCCAUAGGUUCUUGAGUGUUUGAAAGACACUAUUAAAUGUUUAACUGUUGUUGGGAAAAUAUUUGUCAAUUUAUGUGUGUUAAGGUUUUUUUAAAUAAUUAUUUUGUAAAUAUUUUUCUAAGGAUAAGACUAAAUAGACGGUUUUGUUAUAUUUUGACUUCAUAUAAAACAUAUAAUGCUAAAGAUAAAUAAUUGUAAGUUAUGCUAGGACAAAUACUUUUUAAAUUAAAGCCAAUCUGAAAUGUU